AUACCUUGCCUUGACAUCCCCCUGCCUGUAGUUUUCUCUCUUCCAUUUGCAUCCCGCCUUGGGUUGGGGAGGAGGACGCUGCUUGCUCGGAGAGCUCGAGGCACCUCCAUGAGGGAGGGGGGAGGCGGCUGAUUUUACCUUCACGACAACCCUGUGAGGCUAACUUUGAAUUGGACUUCAUAUUUGCUUAGACAACCUGGAAUUUCCUGUUUAUAAGAAUAAGUGUCAUACUACACAGAUAGCA
rnacentral:lncRNA from 1 species